rnacentral:rRNA from 1 species
AGAGUUUGAUCAUGGCUCAGGAUGAACGCUGACAGAAUGCUUAACACAUGCAAGUCAACUUGAACUUCGGUUUGGGUGGCGGACGGGUGAGUAACGCGUAAAGAACUUGCCUCACAGUUAGGGACAACAUUUGGAAACGAAUGCUAAUACCUGAUAUUAUGAUUUUAGGGCAUCCUAAGAUUAUGAAAGCUAUAUGCGCUGUGAGAGAGCUUUGCGUCCCAUUAGCUAGUUGGAGAGGUAACGGCUCACCAAGGCGAUGAUGGGUAGCCGGCCUGAGAGGGUGAACGGCCACAAGGGGACUGAGACACGGCCCUUACUCCUACGGGAGGCAGCAGUGGGGAAUAUUGGACAAUGGACCAAGAGUCUGAUCCAGCAAUUCUGUGUGCACGAUGAAGUUUUUCGGAAUGUAAAGUGCUUUCAGUUGGGAAGAAAAAAAUGACGGUACCAACAGAAGAAGUGACGGCUAAAUACGUGCCAGCAGCCGCGGUAAUACGUAUGUCACAAGCGUUAUCCGGAUUUAUUGGGCGUAAAGCGCGUCUAGGUGGUUAUGUAAGUCUGAUGUGAAAAUGCAGGGCUCAACUCUGUAUUGCGUUGGAAACUGUGUAACUAGAGUACUGGAGAGGUAAGCGGAACUACAAGUGUAGAGGUGAAAUGCGUAGAUAUUUGUAGGAAUGCCGAUGGGGAAGCCAGCUUACUGGACAGAUACUGACGCUAAAGCGCGAAAGCGUGGGUAGCAAACAGGAUUAGAUACCCCGGUAGUCCAA